UUUGUAUGAUGAUUACAAAAGGUUUCGCAAUUUGCUGAAUUCCACAGUGACGAAAAACCUUGGCUGUCUGAUUAA